rnacentral:sRNA from 1 species
CUAUGAUGGUAGAGGAAAGAGAGACAUCCGACUGAACUAUGGCGGAUCUAUAUGGAAAGGAUUAAAUGGGUCUUAUUUUUCUUGCCGUCUAGAUUUAUGAUUUUAUACAAAUUAUGAAAACUGUUACAUAAACGAUUUUCCUACGGACAAUUCCUUCCGAUCUUUAUUAGAUCCACGACAGACGACAUCUCAUUCUUCUUCUUCAUACGCUUGAUAGACAUCUUCAAUAUUUUCUUUGCGUAGAAUCCUGGCGAACGACUAUAAUUGUACAUCGUUGUAGAUCUCCUGCACACUUGCCUCUAUUAAUCUGCAAAUCUGCUAAUAAAACGCAGUAGUUGGAACUCGAACCCCAGACCUUUUAGUGUAGAAGCAUUAAUGAACUCUUGGUCAAACAUUAAGCAAAGGGACUUCUACAAAUGGGCCUUUAUUUAU